rnacentral:lncRNA from 1 species
UGCAAUGAGAUAUAUUUGUAACAUAUGCAAUUUGUAAGGUGCUAAUCAUAAUAAGCUUAGAAUCACAUUCAUCUCACUAUACUGCAAAUUAAGAAGCAAUUUACUAUGCUUAUUCAGCAGAUAAGUACGUAUCAUGUUUGGUUCACUGUUGUUGAUUUACAUAAGAAGUCAUACAAGUGGUUCGGAUCAACUGCUAAUCAUAAUAAGUUUACUUUGUUGUUCAAUGUACUUUGAUUCGCUUUACCUCCACAUACAUGCAUGGCUCAGGAUGAAAGACCAAGCUCAUUUCUGUGGAUACCCUUUCGACUAUGCAGCACGAAGAAGUGUAAGUCGGAAAGUUUCAGUAUCAACUAUCAAAAUUCUUCUGAAACUAUAAUGAACUCCUGAGUUGAGUAUGUGAAUUACCUCUGAAUCUGAGUGGUUACAGCCUUACAGGUAUCUCAUCUCUAGCACCGACUUCGUCUGCUAAAUCGAUGCCAAGAGAACAAGGAAGAGGAAGAUACCACUGCUCCUCCUCCCAACCAAUUCACUC